rnacentral:rRNA from 1 species
AUGUCAAAGACCUCUCGCCUUACCAUGGUGAUGAAGCUUUCGAUCCGAGGUCGGAUCUUUGCCAAGGGGGGAGAUGAUGCGGAGCAACCCAUGAUUAUCCCCAUGGACAUAUCUACAUCUCCCACGACACCACUUGGACCAAUGACAAGAGCUCGAGCAAAGGCUAUCGAAGAUAAGGUGAACUCGCUCCUCUCGGAACUCCCACUUUCUACACAUCGGACAUGGCUACUACCUCAAGCGGAAACACCAUGUGUGAUCGGGUACUUGGAGGAAGGACCUGGAGCCGCUACAUCCAAUGGACAAGACGGCGAGGACACCGAGUAUGAAGGACAAGAAGAAGAGCUAUCGAAGAAGCUACAACAAGCGGUUGUCCGCCCAGGACCAGACAUCCGGUGCCUGAAGGACCAGCCGACCCGGGUUCCAGCCUAUGAAAGGUACAGCGAGCGGAAGCCCGCCCAGGACCGGAUGUCCGGCGACACUUCCCCGUGA